CGCCUCUUGACAAACAUAAGAGGUCCAGCUUGCCCAGUGACAAAGUUCAACGGCCGCGGUACCCUAACCGUGCGAAGGUAGCAUAAUCACUUGUUCUCUAAAUAAGGACUUGUAUCAACGGCACUACGAGGGUUAUACUGUCUCCUUUUUCCAAUCAGUGAAACUGAUCUCCCCGUGAAGAAGCGGGGAUCAAAAUAUAAGACGAGAAGACCCCAUGGAGCUUUAAACUCACUGUACACCUCUAUGUUCCUAUAUCCUUAUAACACAAGAAACCUGUACAUUAGUUUUAGGUUGGGGGGACCACGGAGUACAACUUAACCUCCAUAACAAAUGGGCUAACACCCUUAUCCACGAGACACAACUCUAAGAAUUAAUAGACUAAUGCUUAUGACCCGAUAUUCGAUCAAUGAACCAAGUUACCCUGGGGAUAACAGCGCAAUCUACUUCAAGAGCUCAUAUCGACAAGUAGGUUUACGACCUCGAUGUUGGAUCAGGGUAUCCCGGUGGUGCAACCGCUACCAAU
rnacentral:rRNA from 1 species